AAAUUUUAGGUUUUCGAUGAUGUGAAAGUAAGAAGGAAAGUGCUGUCUCUCAAAGUCAAGUGUACUAAUAAGUCAUCACAUUCUGUAAAUGUUUGUGAAUGGAUAGGGGAACUGAAUUACUUACAGAAUCAUCAUAACGAGUGCAAGUUUCAGAUAGUUGGAUGUCCCAGAGAUUGUGGCAACAACAUGCAACGAUGUGAGCUUUCGCAGCAUCAGCUAUUUACAUGUCCUCGACUUCCUAUUACUUGUGGCAGCUGCGAGGAAAUAUUCGAAAUGCGUAAUAUGGAGCGUCAUAAGAUGUCGUGUCCAAAAUUGCCUAUCAAUUGCACGUUGAAAUGUGGAAAGAAAGUGGAAAGAAGAAACAUAAAAGAUCACGUUUCUGAGUUAGGUGAUUGUCCCAACACGAUAAUGCCUUGCAUCUUCAAGGACGUGGGCUGCGACGUUACAGU